rnacentral:rRNA from 1 species
UACCAUGCAGUCGAACGAUGAUGCCCAGCUUGCUGGGCGGAUUAGUGGCGAACGGGUGAGUAAUACGUGAGUAACCUGCCCUUGACUCUGGGAUAAGCCUGGGAAACUGGGUCUAAUACUGGAUACUACCGUCCACCGCAUGGUGGGUGGUGGAAAGGGUUCUACUGGUUUUGGAUGGGCUCACGGCCUAUCAGCUUGUUGGUGGGGUAAUGGCUCACCAAGGCGACGACGGGUAGCCGGCCUGAGAGGGUGACCGGCCACACUGGGACUGAGACACGGCCCAGACUCCUACGGGAGGCAGCAGUGGGGAAUAUUGCACAAUGGGCGGAAGCCUGAUGCAGCGACGCCGCGUGAGGGAUGACGGCCUUCGGGUUGUAAACCUCUUUCAGUAGGGAAGAAGCGAGAGUGACGGUACCUGCAGAAGAAGCGCCGGCUAACUACGUGCCAGCAGCCGCGGUAAUACGUAGGGCGCAAGCGUUGUCCGGAAUUAUUGGGCGUAAAGAGCUCGUAGGCGGUUUGUCGCGUCUGCUGUGAAAGCCCGGGGCUCAACCCCGGGUCUGCAGUGGGUACGGGCAGACUAGAGUGCAGUAGGGGAGACUGGAAUUCCUGGUGUAGCGGUGAAAUGCGCAGAUAUCAGGAGGAACACCGAUGGCGAAGGCAGGUCUCUGGGCUGUUACUGACGCUGAGGAGCGAAAGCAUGGGGAGCGAACAGGAUUAGAUACCCUGGUAGUCCAUGCCGUAAACGUUGGGCACUAGGUGUGGGGGACAUUCCACGUUUUCCGCGCCGUAGCUAACGCAUUAAGUGCCCCGCCUGGGGAGUACGGCCGCAAGGCUAAAACUCAAAGGAAUUGACGGGGGCCCGCACAAGCGGCGGAGCAUGCGGAUUAAUUCGAUGCAACGCGAAGAACCUUACCAAGGCUUGACAUUCACCGGACCGCCCCAGAGAUGGGGUUUCCCUUCGGGGCUGGUGGACAGGUGGUGCAUGGUUGUCGUCAGCUCGUGUCGUGAGAUGUUGGGUUAAGUCCCGCAACGAGCGCAACCCUCGUUCUAUGUUGCCAGCACGUGAUGGUGGGGACUCAUAGGAGACUGCCGGGGUCAACUCGGAGGAAGGUGGGGAUGACGUCAAAUCAUCAUGCCCCUUAUGUCUUGGGCUUCACGCAUGCUACAAUGGCCGGUACAAAGGGUUGCGAUACUGUGAGGUGGAGCUAAUCCCAAAAAGCCGGUCUCAGUUCGGAUUGAGGUCUGCAACUCGACCUCAUGAAGUCGGAGUCGCUAGUAAUCGCAGAUCAGCAACGCUGCGGUGAAUACGUUCCCGGGCCUUGUACACACCGCCCGUCAAGUCACGAAAGUUGGUAACACCCGAAGCCGGUGGUCCUAACCCCUUGUGGGAGGGAGCCGUCGAAUGG